rnacentral:rRNA from 1 species
UAGGGAAUCUUCGGCAAUGGACGAAAGCCUGACCGAGCAACGCCGCGUGGGUGAAGAAGGUUUUCGGCUCGUAAAACACUGUUGUCAGAGAAGAACAAGGACGUUAGUAACUGAAAGUACCCUGACGGUAUCUAACCAGAAAGCCACGGGUAACUACGUGGCAGCAGCCGCGGUAAUACGUAGGUGGCAAGCGUUGUGCGGAUUUAGUGGGCGUAAAGCGAGCGGAGGCGGUUUCUUAAGUCUGAUGUGAAAGCCCCCGGCUCAACCGGGGAGGGUCAUUGGAAACUGGGAGACUUGAGUGCAGAAGAGGAUAGUGGAAUUCCAUGUGUAGCGGUGAAAUGCGUAGAUAUAUGGAGGAACACCGGUGGCGAAGGCGGCCCUCUGGCCUGUUACUGACGCUGAGGCUCGAAAGCGUGGGGAGCAAACAGG